GACGAACGCUGGCGGCGUGCUUAACACAUGCAAGUCGAACGGAAAGGCCUGCUUUCCCUUGUGUAUUGCGGGUACUCGAGUGGCGAACGGGUGAGUAACACGUGAGUGAUCUGCCCCCAACUUGGGUAUAAGCCUGGGAAACUGGGUCUAAUUCCCGAUAGGACUGCAGGGUGGUGCCUGUGGUGGAAAACGAUUUUCUAGUGGUUGGGGAUGAGCUCGCGGCCUAUCAGCUUGUUGGUGGGGUAAUGGCCUACCAAGGCGGCGACGGGUAGCCGGCCUGGGAGGGUGGACGGCCACAUUGGGACUGAGAUACGGCCCAGACUCCUACGGGAGGCAGCAGUGGGGAAUAUUGCACAAUGGGCGGAAGCCUGAUGCAGCGACGCCGCGUGGGGGAUGACGGCCUUCGGGUUGUAAACUCCUUUCGACAGCGAGGAAGCCACCUGGUUGGAAGGGUGGUGACGGUAGUGGUAGAAGAAGCACCGGCUAACUACGUG
rnacentral:rRNA from 1 species